CAACAGCGGUCAUUACAUAAUGUCCACUGUAGUGUAAACUCACGUAUACAUAUCUGAAGCUGCCGGUCAAAAAGUAGAGAGAAGUAAUUUCCGCCUGCUGUUGAACAGGGCAGUUAGUUUAAGUUCGUGAGUUUAGCUUGCUGUGUGUAGCCUGUGAAUAAAUAACAUCGUUUAUUUACUGUUAAACGUCAUUUUGCAUGGCAAAGCACUGUUCAGAUAGCGUAGGGGAAAAUAUACAUCGCUGGCCAUGUAUAUGGGGUAAUAUAUCUUCUGUUGAUAUCUAAGAAUAGUAUGUUUGACUAAGUUAAUUCCGGUGUAGUUAGCCUGCUAGCUUAGCUAAGUUUUGAGUAACUUUAUUUCAGGCUACUUUAAGGGACCAUCGUCAAAGUUGUAGGCGUCAGCAGAGGGAGUGUAGCACACGGCCAUUCCCUUACUGCGCCACUUUAAGUGAAAUGGGAAGCCUUGAAACCUCCAUGUUUGUAUCUUGAAAUUGCGAGCGGAGUUGAGCACCAUAUUGAAUCAAAGUUGCCAACUCCUUGUCAAAUGUUUUAUAACUUUCAUACUUCAAACUUCAGCGGGUAUCUGAGCGGACAAAUACACCCGGAGUGUAAUGGACUUGCUGUAGGCGACUCGUUUUUAGGUUUCCCGGGGCGCUCCAGUUUUGUUUUCGUACAAGUUAAGUUGGUUUCAUGCAGCACCGAGUCAGCGAACAAUCUCCAACUUUAAAGUGUGAGGUCAGCACUCUGGACCAGACCUGGAUGUGAUGGACAAUCCGUCCUCAGUAAUCACCCAAGUCAGCCGGGAUGAAGAGGGAAGUAAAGCCGCAGGAGAGAGGGGUUCUUCUCCCUCUCUGUCCUCCAAGAAGCCCAGGAGCAGGGGCCUCUUCUCCAGCCUCUUCUGCUGCCUGUGUCGGGACCAGCCUGAACCCCCACCAGUCAACAACAACGCCCCUCUGCUGGUCGAAGAGAACGGAACCGUCUCCAAGAUCCAGGUGAAGCCACUGCUUCCUCCAGCGAAGUCAAAAGACUCUGGAAAGAUCUGCGUGGUUAUAGAUCUGGACGAGACGUUAGUUCACAGCUCGUUUAAGCCUGUGAACAAUGCAGAUUUCAUCAUUCCUGUGGAAAUAGAUGGAACAGUACACCAGGUGUAUGUCCUGAAGCGGCCCCACGUCGAUGAGUUCCUGAAGAGGAUGGGGGAACUGUUUGAGUGUGUCCUGUUCACUGCCAGUUUAGCCAAGUAUGCAGACCCAGUCUCUGAUCUCCUGGACAAGUGGGGUGCUUUCCGCUGUCGCCUCUUCCGGGAGUCCUGCGUCUUCCACAGAGGAAAUUAUGUUAAGGACCUGAGUCGCCUGGGUCGUGACCUCAACAAGGUCAUCAUCGUGGACAACUCCCCGGCCUCCUACAUCUUCCACCCCGACAACGCAGUGCCUGUGGCCUCGUGGUUCGACGACAUGUCCGACACCGAGCUGCUGGACCUCAUCCCAUUCUUCGAGAGGCUGAGCAAAGUGGACAACGUCUACUCAGUCCUCAAGCACCAGGGGGCCGCAAGCUAACAGUGUUCGUCUUUUCAUCUCAGCUCUGAACAAAGCGGCGUACUGAACGGAAAUAAACACACCAGCGAGGCUCCAUCACCAGCUCCAGCUAUCACUGCCCACCAGAACACAGACUGCUUCACAGCUGACAGAGCCUUCACCUUCCCAGUAUCAAACCAAGAUUAUGUUUGGGAGUUUUUCAGUGACUUCGAUGGCGUCAUCACUGCCACCUUCUGGUCAAACAGAAAACUGCCUGAAAAUUACCUUGCAAUUCUCCCCCCAUGAACCAGCUCAUGUGAGUGAAUGCAUGAAAGGAUGAAUGAAUGUUUAAGGACAUUUCUGCAGUGUCACUGAACUUGCAGUACAUUUAACAAAACAGAUGUCUGCAGCCAUGAAUCCAAUGGACACAGACUGGGUACCGGACAUAGACUUCUCUCAUGGACUCGGCAGUUUGACCCUGCAAACCGAAGCAGGUUUGAUGCCAUGACCAGUUGAUGCCAGAGACGAGAGGACCAGGAUCGACUUCUAAAAGCGGGUCAUUUGUCAUGCUACAUCAGAACAGAGGCUCCGUUGGUGUAUGAUUGGUCUUGUUACUUGUUUUAAAGCCACACUCAAAACUUGAAUAUCUCACAGCAUUCACAGACUGUAUUUGAAUGGGUAAAGAAAGUUGCAAAAAAGUUAGUUUGGCUUGUCAGUUUUGGUCUCAUAAGCUUAAAAGUACAACUUUUUUUUUUCUUUUCAAUUAAGCGGUACACAUACGCUGGAAACAAUUUCAGGACUUUGUAAUAAAAUGUGUGUCGAGGGAGGUUAGUCUAGGAUAUGUGAGGUGUUGUGCCUGGUGAGCUGGCACACCUUUGCAAACAAAAAGUGGUUUAAUUCGGUCCAGAUUUAAAGGAGAAAUCCAUCCCGAAACACUUUCAACACCGUCAAUAAACAGCUAUUGGUGAUUUUUCUUGCACCUCUGGGUCCUUUGUUAUUUGGCUGGUGGUCAUAUUCUGUUGGAUAGACAUCACGUAAUGUUAAUGGGAGUUAAAUGAUGAUGUGUUGUAGUGUGAUUUGAGGGUGGAGUUUUCCUUUAAAAUCUCAAUUAUAACAGAUGUGGAGUUAUACAUUGAGUCUGUGCUGCUUUUUUUCGUUUUAUUUUUUAAGCUCUAUGUGGCGAUGUUAGUUGGUCGGUUUCUUGAGCUGGUCUGUUUUAAGGAGCGGCCUGGUCUCUAGCAGGAGUCUCCGACUCUUGUUAUGUCCUUCAUAUGCGUUGACAAUACCAUGUGUUGACACUGAUGAAUGAAAAUGGUGGAUUUGACUAAGAGCCUCAAUAGCAGCGUUGAUGCUUGAUGUGACUUUACCUAGAUGGAACAAGGAUGACAAUUAAGUCCACCAUAUUAAGAGCUAUUACAUUAUUUUUCUAUGUUUAACAAAUUAUUGUCAAUCAAAUUAGCCUUUUUCUUUUCUAAAUAAUUACUGAUUUUAAUUCUUCUCUUUGCCCAGCAGUUGUCCUCUGAUACAACAUUGACAGGUUGUUUUCCAGAGGGGAAACACUGUUGUGGCCGUUUUCAUGCAAGACGUGAUUGGUUACCUCAUAUAUUAAUAGGUAGGAUAUGGAUCAGAAACACCAGCAACUGACUAAAAGAUUAGUAUCUUACUGUUGUAGGCACAUAACAGGGUAAUUUGUGUGUUUCAUGUAAGCCAUCAUCACAUGUCUCAAUUAGAUUUAAUGCUGAUACUGUUGUUUCUGUUUUUGGAAUUCAUUGGCAAAAAGGAGUAUUUAUAGGGAUGUUAAGUCAUUUGAUUACAUACAGAACAAGUGUUGUGUCACUACAGGGCCCAUUCGCUGAUACUGUACUUCUUACACAUUCAGUAGAUAUGUAUAUUUUGUUUUGCACAAUAAUAAAGCAAACAAAUUUCAUUAAUAUAUGGAAUAUUCAUGUUACUGUACUCAUGAUUCAAUAGAUGUAACCUAAUUUUUGACCUUUGUUGUUUUAUCAUACCAAAUUAUAUAUGGACUGUGUAAUAAUGCCAUUUUUUCCAUAAAUGCUAAAUGAAAGAUGGUCCAUGUGCUGUUUU